rnacentral:rRNA from 1 species
CAGUAGCCGCGGGAAUACGUAGGUGGCAAGCGUCGUCCGGAAUUAUUGGGCGUAAAGGGCUCGCAGGCGGUUUCUUAAGUCUGAUGUGAAAGCCCCCGGCUCAACCGGGGAGGGUCAUUGGAAACUGGGAAACUUGAGUGCAGAAGAGGAGAGUGGAAUUCCACGUGUAGCGGUGAAAUGCGUAGAGAUGUGGAGGAGCACCAGUGGCGAAGGCGACUCUCUGGUCUGUAACUGACGCUGAGGAGCGAAAGCGUGGGGAGCGAACAGGAUUAGAUACCCCGGUAGUCCCUGUCUCUUAUAC